rnacentral:tRNA from 1 species
GGCUGGGGCUCAGUGGUAGAGCACUUGUCUAGCACAUGCGAGGCCCUGGGUUCCAUCCUCAGCACCA